UUAAAGUUGUUGCGGUUAAAAGCUCCUAGUUGGAUUUCUGUUGGGUAUCGCCUGGUCUGCUCCUCGAGUACGUAUCUGCGUCGAUCCUGGCAUCCUCCCAACGCUCUGUGGCAUUAAUUUGCUGCUUGGCUUGCGACUUUUACUUUGAGGAAAUUAGAGUGUUCACGGCAGGCAUUUGCUUUGAAUAUAUUAGCAUGGGAUAAUAACAUAGGACUUCAGUUUUAUUUUGUUGGUUUCUAAGGCUGAAGUAAUGAUUAAUAGGGACAAUUGGGGGCACUCGUACAAAUC
rnacentral:rRNA from 1 species